GUUCCAGGAAGUGGAGCCUGGAGAGCUGGGAACAGAGGCUGUGGUGCCAAAGGCAGAGGCGGCAGGAGUGGGAGCAGCCUUCAGAGGUGCGGAGACGGGCAGAGGCCACCGAGGAGCACCACCUCCCAGGGCUGGACCACGUGCUGGGCCACGCGUUGACCUCUCUCCAAGCAGCUCCUGUCUCGCUGCCCUGAGCCCUGGGGUGUGGUUCAGGAAAGGCCACCUGCGCCUCUCCCCAUAGGCAGGGCCACCCAGGCCUGCAGUGGUGGCAACUCCAUCCCAGUCGGAAGCCUGCAGGCAGGAAGAACCCAUUGGCUGAUUACAACACUAGCAGCAUUUUUGGCCUGGAGUGUCCUCUUCUGUUGCUCAGCUGACACAAGUCAUUCAGGCCUCAGGCCAGGCCUGAACAUCUCCUACCCUGGGACACCUUCACAGCCUGCCUGGCCAGGAGGGCCUACUGGAGCUCACCUGUACCUGGUGCUAACCCUGUGGACAGUCAUAGGCUGAUGGCCAAGCGAUGCCUGAGAGCACAUCUGCACUCUGCCUGAGGGAGGCCUGGCUGGGAGAGGACAGGCCAGUAGUGCCUGAGGAGUGGGUGACUUCCCAUUGACCAUGUUCCUGGGGCAUAGCAGCUCAUUCUCUUCCUUUUCCCCUGCUCUGUCUCUGGUUUCCAUUUUGUCUCUGUUUCCUUUCCCAUUUGCAUAGAGCCAAUCUAGCUUAUGAAAAACAAGCUGUCAUCUUAGUGUUUUUUGUACCCCAUUCCCCCUGCAGCUGCUGUGUUUCCAGAUGUUCAUUACUGCUGUAUUAGCAGAGGUUGUUAAUGACACUCAGGCUGGC
rnacentral:lncRNA from 10 species